rnacentral:rRNA from 1 species
GUCAACCUAACCUGUAGAUGGGGAUAACCUCGGGAAACUGAGAAUAAUACCCAAUAGAUCACAACUCCUGGAAUGGUUUGUGGUUCAAAUGAUUCGUCGCUACAGGAUGGGACUGCGGCCUAUCAGCUUGUUGGUGAGGUAAUGGCCCACCAAGGCGAUAACAGGUACGGGCUCUGAGAGGAGAAGCCCGGAGAUGGGUACUGAGACACGGACCCAGGCCCUAUGGGGCGCAGCAGGCGAGAAAACUUUGCAAUGUGCGAAAGCACGACAAGGUUAAUCCGAGUGGUUUCUGCUAAGGAAACCUUUUGUCAGUCCUAAAAGCACUGGCGAAUAAGGGGUGGGCAAGUUCUGGUGUCAGCCGCCGCGGUAAAACCAGCACCUCAAGUGGUCAGGAGGAUUAUUGGGCCUAAAGCAUCCGUAGCCGGCUGUGUAAGUUUUCGGUUAAAUCCACGCGCCCAACGCGUGGGCCGCUGGGAAUACUGCACAGCUAGGGAGUGGGAGAGGUAGACGGUACUCCGUAGGAAGGGGUAAAAUCCUGUGAUCUAUGGAUGACCACCUGUGGCGAAGGCGGUCUACUAGAACAUGUCCGACGGUGAGGGAUGAAAGCUGGGGGAGCAAACCGGAUUAGAUACCCGGGUAGUCCCAGCUGUAAACUAUGCAAACUCGGUGAUGCACUGNCUUUUGCCAGUGCAGUGUCGCAGGGAAACCGUUAAGUUUGCCGCCUGGGAAGUACGUACGCAAGUAUGAAACUUAAAGGAAUUGGCGGGGGAGCACCACAAGGGGUGAAGCCUGCGGUUC